CAAUAGCAUAUAUUAAAAUUGUUGCGGUUAAAAGCUCGUAGUUGGAUUUCUGCCGAGGACGACCGGUCCGCCCUCUGGGUCAGCAUCUGGCUCGGCUUGGGCAUCUUCUUGGAGAACGUAGCUGCACUUGACUGUGUGGUGCGGUAUCCAGGACUUUUACUUUGAGGAAAUUAGAGUGUUUCAAGCAGGCACACGCCUUGAAUACGUUAGCAUGGAAUAAUAAGAUAGGACCCCAGUUCUAUUUUGUUGGUUUCUAGUAGCUGAGGUAAUGAGUUAAUAUGGGAUAGGUUGGGGGCAUUCGGGUAUUUAACUGUCAGAGGUGAAAUUCU
rnacentral:rRNA from 1 species